rnacentral:rRNA from 1 species
CCUACGUGAGGCAGCAGUGGGGAAUAUUGGGCAAUGGGCGCAAGCCUGACCCAGCAACGCCGCGUGAAGGAAGAAGGCUUUCGGGUUGUAAACUUCUAUUAAGGGGGAAGAGCAGAAGACGGUACCCCUUGAAUAAGCCACGGCUAACUACGUGCCAGCAGCCGCGGUAAGACGUAGGUGGCAAGCGUUCUCCGGAUUUACUGGGUGUAAGGGGCGUGCAGACGGGGAGACAAGUCAGAUGUGAAAUCCACGGGCUCAACCCGUGAACUGCAUUUGACACUGUCUCGCUUGAGUGUCGGAGAGGUAAGCGGAAUUCCUGGUGUAGCGGUGAAAUGCGUAGAUAUAAGGAAGAACACCAGUGGCGAAGGCGGAUUACUGGACGGUAACUGACGGUGAGGCGCGAAAGCGUGGGGAGCAAACAGGAUUAGAUACCCCAGUAGUC